rnacentral:tRNA from 1 species
GCGCCGCUAUUGGAUCUCUUACACCCCUCCGAAGGCAGGGGUUGCUGGUUCGAUCCCAGCCGGGCGCGCCA